UGCUAUCGUCGUCGCCGUGCAUCGGAGCGCUGCGUCUCCGCCGCUCGGCGAUGCCCCGGACCGCCGCCGAUCCACCAGCCGGAACCGAUUGCACCGCCGCCUCGUCGACUCGCACUGCGUUCCUGCGCCCCGCGCACUGCGUUCUUGCACCUCGUGGGACCUGUGCCCAGCGCGCACGCGCCGCGCUCCCGGGAGUGACGUCAUCUCCGUGCGCCGCCCGUUGCCUAGCGACCAUGACAGGGCGGCGGGCGCGGGGCCCGCUGCAGAGAGUGCAGCGACGGAGCCGGGAGCUGCGGGCACAGGUGGAGGAGCUGCGGGUAGACAGCGCGAGCGCGGCCGUCGGGCGGCGAGAGGCCCUGAGGCAAAGAUGUUUGCAGCUGCAGAAACUGGUGGAUGAGAAUACAAACACUCUUCAUAGUUUGAAAAAAGCUGAUGAGCCUGCACCGGUGGGGAAUUACAACCAGAGGAAAGAAGAAGAAGAAAAGCUAUUGCUAAAGCUAUCCCAGCAGCUGCAGAAACUUGAUCGUAUCUUGGAUCAGGGUAACGUGGCUACAAACGACACGGUGAAUGGGGAACAUCAGAAAGAUCCUCAAAGAGAGGGCAAAAAUAAAGAAGAGGAUGAGAGUGCUGAUGACAGUGGAGAAAGUAGUGAGGAAGAAGAAAGUGAAGAAACAGAUGAGGAAGAUGAGGAUAAGUUGUUGGAUGAUCCUGAUGUCAAAGAAUGCAUUGCAGUGGGGAACUUUAAUGCGCAGCAGGAAGGGGACCUCACAUUUAUGAAAGGUGAAGUCCUGCUUAUACAUGAUAAGAAGGCGGAUGGCUGGUGGGUAGCUGAGAACUCAAAAGGGGAGAGAGGCCUCGUGCCUAGAACCUACCUUGCGGUCCAUAAUGAAGAUGAAGAAAGCCAAGAGGAAAGUGAUGAACACAUAGAAGUGGUGGAUGAAACAGCAGAUGGAACUGCAAUUAAAAAAAGAACAGACUCUCACUGGAGUGCUGUAAGAAAAGCUACCACAGAGAGUGACACAGUAGAGAUGCUGGCAGCCAUGGGAGCAGUGCCUGCAGGAUUCCGUCUGUCCACGCUUUCCCAGCUCUUAGAACAAGGUAAUCAGUUCAGAGCAAGUUACUUCUUGCAGCCUAAACUUACUCCAUCCCAGCUGGCUUUUAAAGAUUUGGUGUGGGAUUCUGAAAAAAAUACUAUCUGUCCUACACCAACUCGAGUGUCCCUGAUUGUAACUUUAUGUAGCUGUAAAACGAUUCCUCUCCCAGCAGCCAGCAUUCAGGUUCUCAGCAGGCACGUUCGCCUCUGUCUGUUCGAUGGCAAUCGGGUGCUGAGUAACAUUCACACAGUGAGAGCUACGUGGCAACCUAAAAACCCUCAAAUGUGGACCUUUUCCCCACGGGUAACAGGCAUUUUGCCCAGCCUACUGGAUGGUGACUGUUUCGUCAGGUCCAAUUCCUUAUCUUCAGACAUUGGUUUACUAUUUGAACUUGGCAUCACUUACAUUCGCAACUCAACAGGUGAACGACAAGAGCUAAGCUGUGGCUGGGCAUUUCAGAAGCUUUUUUCUUCUGAUGGAAUGCCUGUUCCUUCCAAAAUGCAUGAGCUGCUAUUGAAUGGUGGUACCCCCUAUGAGAGAGGUGUUGAGGUUGACCCAUCACUAUCAAGAAGAGGCAGUGGUGUUCUUCAUCAGCUUAUAUCACUCAAGAAGCAGCCUGUGCUUGUAGUGAAACUGAGGUCAUUAAGCACACAGUCAAAAGACAUCCUGAAUUUGUUACCAGAAACGUUAAUUGGCAGUAUGUGCUACAUCCAUCUCUUGAUAUUUUAUCGGCAAAUACUUGGGGAUGCACUGCUGAGAGAGAGAAUAAACAUGCAAAGCGCAGGUGCACUGGGAACAAAUUGAAAACUGCUGUCCCUGCUAACAAAAGGAAACAGCCUCUUGGUGUGUUUGCAUUUCAAACUAGAAAUAUUUCAACUUGCAUCCAACGCGUUGCCUUGUUUGGCACCAGUUCACACAGCAAGAUGCAGAAACCACGAGAACAGUUUUGUUUUCUGUGAAGUAUGAGAAGUGUCUUCAGUGAAACUUAGCCCCCAAAAAGCCCACGUGGACAGGCAAAAGGUUAUUUCUAAAUCAGCAGUAAAUAAAGAUUAAGGGAUUGUUUGGAAGAUAAACAUUUCCUUUGCACCACCCAUGCAGUGAGAGAUCAGAUGUGCUGACAGAUGUACUCAUCCAUUUCUAGAAUGCGUGCUCCCGUGUUAUAGGAAAGAUUAAGCAGCUGUUUCUGUCACUGGGAUGAAGUCAUCCUCUCUUAAUUCCUUUUAUUGAUUUAAGUAUUUAUUUUCUGGUCAAGGCAGUGGGGAGAGAUGGAAGUGGAAAAGCUCUGCUUUUAGAACUCUAUCUUGUGCUGAUUUUGAAAGUCUGUAUGUUAUUCCUUCCACACCAAAACUGUGAUAGCUUACAGUCUUCUCUGUUACACACUCACACUUGAAAUACAGAAAAAAUUACAUUUCUUAACUCUGCUGCUCAUGACUUGGCAGUGGUACUGCAAAGUAAUUUUCUUGUGCUUUCUCCUCUGUCUCUUUCCCAGAUUGAAUGAUGUGUCCUCUGUUCCUAUGGCAAAUACAUUUGCUUGUACAUUUUAGCCUGCAGUCCAUGUGAUGCCAUACUGAGGCACCUGAAUUACAGGUUCACCUUUCAAAGAUGCUCAGAACUAAACUGCCUUCCAUGAACUUCCAGACAGCAAGUAGUCAAAGCACAUACAAAAGUCAGACCCUUGAAUGAAUGAGUGCUUUAUUUAUUAAACUCAUCACUGAGAAAAAGAAGAUGCUCAGUGUUUCAGGGCCAGCUAAGAUCCAUGUACCACAAUUGCCUGACUUGAACUUUGUAACAUAGGACAAUACAUCAGGCUGACCAUCUCUGGAGUUCAGUUGCUGCCAUUUGGAUUCAGUCUUGAUUUGAAAUGUUUUAAAGGCUUUACCCCCAUGGUUCAGAAGUUGUUCAGGUUGCAGUUCUCUACUUUUCUGAUGUUGCAAAGGCAAAUUGAUGCUCUUACUUCAGAGUCAAUCAUACUUUUAAAAUGGUUGGCUGUAUUCUGCUGCGUUCUGACAAAGCAGUUGUCCAGGUAUCCCCAACCCACAUGCAACGCAAGCCAGAUCAAGGCAGAACAAAAGCAUGUUUAUUCAUAACAUCCAAACCAGGUGUCACAAUUUCAGAUGUUGAUAAAAAAGACAGGUGCAGCAGUGAGGAAAACACCCUACUCUACCCUUGGGUUAAAUUAGUAAGGGCUGUUACUUGCUGGCUUCUCCUAAUAAACUGGCACUUGGUUUGGGUUUUUUUGUUGUUUUUUUUCUUUCUUUCAUGCACAUCUGUUCUCUCCCUUGCUAACUGCACCUCAGCAGUUAGAGAGCUUGCUGUAGAAAGCUCUUGUGGGAACUCUUCAAUCUUUGCAGCUCUGGAGUACUGUUACAGCUCAUUUUCCCUCUCAAGAGUUUGGGGAGGGGGCUGUCUCUAGGCAUAGCUGGUCUUCUGCCUUGAAAACCAUCCCAUUUCUUCUUUGCCUCCAAUGUGUUUAUUUUUUGUUUCAGAAUUAAUCUGUAAUCCUAUUUUAGCAACUUUUCCUCAACUCAUGGAUCAGCCAGACCUGAUGGAUGCACUGCGGAGUGCUUGGGCGGACAGAGAAAGAACUUUGAAGAGAUCAGAAAAG